GACGAACGCUGGCGGCGUGCUUAACACAUGCAAGUCGAACGGUGAAGUAGAGGUUGCUCUAUGGAUCAGUGGCGAACGGGUGAGUAACACGUGGGCAACCUGCCCCAGACUCUGGGAUAACUCCUCGAAAGAGGGGCUAAUACCGGAUAUUUGCAUUGCAAGACAUCUUGUGAUGCAGAAAGAAUUUCGGUCUGGGAUGGGCCCGCGGCCUAUCAGCUUGUUGGUGAGGUAACGGCUCACCAAGGCGACGACGGGUAGCCGGCCUGAGAGGGCGACCGGCCACACUGGGACUGAGACACGGCCCAGACUCCGACGGGAGGAAGCAGUGGGGAAGAUUGGGCAAUGGGCGCAAGCCUGACCCAGCAACGCCGCGUGAGGGAUGAAGGUCCUCGGAUUGUAAACCUCUUUCAGCAGGGACGAAGCGAAAGUGACGGUACCUGCAGAAGAAGCACCGGCUAACUACGUGCCAGCAGCCGCCGCGG
rnacentral:rRNA from 1 species